GACGAACGCUGGCGGCGUGCUUAGCACAUGCCAGUCGAACGGAAAGGCCCUGCUUUUGUGGGGUGCUCGAGUGGCGAACGGGUGAGUAACACGUGAGUAACCUGCCCUUGACUUUGGGAUAACUUCAGGAAACUGGGGCUAAUACCGGAUAGGAGCUCCUGCUGCAUGGUGGGGGUUGGAAAGUUUCGGCGGUUGGGGAUGGACUCGCGGCUUAUCAGCUUGUUGGUGGGGUAGUGGCUUACCAAGGCUUUGACGGGUAGCCGGCCUGAGAGGGUGACCGGCCACAUUGGGACUGAGAUACGGCCCAGACUCCUACGGGAGGCAGCAGUGGGGAAUAUUGCACAAUGGGCGGAAGCCUGAUGCAGCAACGCCGCGUGCGGGAUGACGGCCUUCGGGUUGUAAACCGCUUUCGCCUGUGACGAAGCGUGAGUGACGGUAAUGGGUAAAGAAGCACCGGCUAACUACGUG
rnacentral:rRNA from 1 species